rnacentral:sRNA from 1 species
GAAUGCAGCGGACCGCACGGUGACAGUU